GACGAACGCUGGCGGCGUGCCUAAUACAUGCCAGUUGAGCGCUGAAGGUUGGUACUUGUACCGACUGGAUGAGCAGCGAACGGGUGAGUAACGCGUGGGGAAUCUGCCUUUGAGCGGGGGACAACAUUUGGAAACGAAUGCUAAUACCGCAUAAAAACUUUAAACACAAGUUUUAAGUUUGAAAGAUGCAAUUGCAUCACUCAAAGAUGAUCCCGCGUUGUAUUAGCUAGUUGGUGAGGUAAAGGCUCACCAAGGCGAUGAUACAUAGCCGACCUGAGAGGGUGAUCGGCCACAUUGGGACUGAGACACGGCCCAAACUCCUACGGGAGGCAGCAGUAGGGAAUCUUCGGCAAUGGACGAAAGUCUGACCGAGCAACGCCGCGGGAGUGAAGAAGGGUUUCGGAUCGUAAAACUCUGUUGGUAGAGAAGAACGUUGGUGAGAGUGGAAAGCUCAUCAAGUGACGGUAACUACCCAGAAAGGGACGGCUAACUACGUG
rnacentral:rRNA from 1 species